rnacentral:rRNA from 1 species
AAAUUGAAGAGUUUGAUCAUGGCUCAGAUUGAACGCUGGCGGCAGGCCUAACACAUGCAAGUCGAACGGUAACAGAAAGCAGCUUGCUGCUUUGCUGACGAGUGGCGGACGGGUGAGUAAUGUCUGGGAAACUGCCUGAUGGAGGGGGAUAACUACUGGAAACGGUAGCUAAUACCGCAUAAUGUCGCAAGACCAAAGAGGGGGACCUUCGGGCCUCUUGCCAUCGGAUGUGCCCAGAUGGGAUUAGCUAGUAGGUGGGGUAACGGCUCACCUAGGCGACGAUCCCUAGCUGGUCUGAGAGGAUGACCAGCCACACUGGAACUGAGACACGGUCCAGACUCCUACGGGAGGCAGCAGUGGGGAAUAUUGCACAAUGGGCGCAAGCCUGAUGCAGCCAUGCCGCGUGUAUGAAGAAGGCCUUCGGGUUGUAAAGUACUUU